rnacentral:rRNA from 1 species
GACGAACGCUGGCGGCGUGCUUAACACAUGCAAGUCGAGCGGAGCGGCGAACGGGUGAGUAACGCGUGAGUAACUGCCCCCCUCUCUGGGAUAACAGUUGGAAACGGGUGCUAAUACCGGAUAGUGGGGGAUGACUAGGGUCCUAUCAGCUUGUUGGUGGGGUAGUGGCCUACCAAGGCGACGACGGGUAGCCGGCCUGGGAGGGGGACCGGCCCCAUUGGGCUGAGAUACGGCCCAAACUCCUACUGGAGGCAGCAGUGGGGAAUAUUGCGCAAUGGGGCAAACCCUGAUGCAGCAACGCCGGUGCGGGAUGUCCGCCUUCGGGUUGUAAACCGCUUUCAGCCAUGACGCGGUAGUGGCAGAAGAAGCACCGGCUAACUACGUGCCAGCAGCCGCGGUAAUUC